rnacentral:rRNA from 1 species
CGGGUGAGUAACACGUGGAUAACCUACCUAUAAGACUGGGAUAACUUCGGGAAACCGGAGCUAAUACCGGAUAANAUUUUGAACCGCAUGGUUCAAAAGUGAAAGACGGUCUUGCUGUCACUUAUAGAUGGAUCCGCGCUGCAUUAGCUAGUUGGUAAGGUAACGGCUUACCAAGGCAACGAUGCAUAGCCGACCUGAGAGGGUGAUCGGCCACACUGGAACUGAGACACGGUCCAGACUCCUACGGGAGGCAGCAGCG